AAUAAUGUAUAUUUUUGGUACAUAUUCAAUAUCCUAAAAAGUUUAUGAAUAUAAUUGAUAUUAAGUAUAAUUAAUAUUGAAUAUGGCACACAUAGCCAGUGCUAACUGCAUCCAGGUGGCAGCGUCGGAAAUUACUGCAAGUCUCUAACAUGGAAGCUUACUCCUCAUUAAAAAAGUCAUUUAAGGCCUCAACAUUUGGGUGUUACAUUCUUCAAGUUAAACACUCUAAAAUCCACAAGUUACUAUAAUCCUACAAAUCCUUAUUUCGUGAUUUUAGAGGCCUAGAGUUCUUGCGUGAGACUUUGACUACAACUUCAGUAGUUUUUCUUUGAAAAAGCACUCUAUAAGCUUCUCCGUGAUCAUCAUCCUUAUCAAGAUGCUACUUAACAGAAAAACAGAUUUUGAGAAAAUAAGCAACCCCUCAUCUACUAUGACGUCAAUAUUAAAGGCGUGGUGGAAGUCAAACAUCAAUGUACACGCGUUAUGGUAUAACCUUAUAUUUUAUCAACCUUUGGGAGUAUAUGUAGUAUAAAAUAUGGGAUGCCCUAAACGCCUUGAAGAUUUUAUUCAUUUUGAAACAACAGCAGUUAUAUGUAAAAUUCAAGAUCUAGGGAAAAAUCCAAGAACUGUUAAGCCCCGGUACAACAAGUCUAAAAAUGGUAAAUAUCGGCCCAAAAUCCAAUUUUUCAAAUUCAAAACGUCAAAAAUGGCUUGAAAAGUUUCAAACUUUUCCAAAGAGGAUUGUAGUAUCAUAUGCAGAGUGAAAAAUAAUGCUAUCCACUGGUAUGCUAAAAACAAAAGAAAUCGAAAAUUAACGUGGUACCCCUGACAAUUGAAAAAUGUUGGGGAGAAAGAUCAGCUUAGGUUUCAUGACCUAUACUGUGAACAGAAAGAAAGUAAAUACAAAUCCUUCUCUGGAUCUACAAAAAACAAUACCAAAAAUUACUUUGGAGUCGAUCCUAAACUUUAAUCUCUGUCCAACUGGGAUUUUUUAUCAUAACCAUAAUUAUAACUUCCUCAAUAAUGUUGUAUAGUUAAGAAUGUUUAUAAUAUUGAUCCAUUAUGUAACUCAAUAUUUUUCAAGGUUGUUUAAAUUUGAUCAUUUGUGUCCUAAGAUGGUCAAACUCUCAAUAAAGGUAUGAGAAGAGUUGAAAAUAUGGACCCUUGAUAUUAUAAUAUUUGAGUGCCAUGUCCUCUAAAUAUUGAAAUCAUAUUAGCUUCUGAAUUACAAAAUUAUUAUUGGCUAAAAUCGGAUUCAAUAUAGGACGUCAAAAAAAAA
rnacentral:lncRNA from 1 species